CCGAGCGAGGGCCCCGGCCCGACCUCCAACCCACUGAAGUUACCAACCCUGUUGCCUCGGGGGUGACCCGGCCGCCGCGUCGGGGCCCCCUAAGGACCACACUACUCUGCGUCUCUGCGUCGGAGUUUUGAGGGAAAUGUCAAUUA
rnacentral:misc_RNA from 1 species